AACCGACACAGCUUUGCGAUCUCGCCAGCAUGCAGUCUGAUGUCUUCCCUAUAGAUGAUUCCAGAGACUCUGUGAGGCUACUAUUGCAAGGUGAGACGCUUUGCGUUGAUUGGUGCUGCUGGACCACACUGGAGGUGCGAGUCCGCCGUGUAAUGGUUUAUGCCAUUACAAAGGAGCUGGCCUCUGUACUCAACUGGGCAGGGAAAAAAUACCAAGGACCAGACAAAGCAAAAAAGGGCAUUUAAAGAGACAGCGCUGUGCAGAUGCAUAUUUGAUGGCCUGGCGCAGCAGGUAGGGGCGAACUCUAUGUCUGAGUUGGUCUUUGCUCAAGCAGUCCAGAAAUGGCUCAGAUAUGCUCCAGAUCGUACGGGUGGCACGCAGGACGCCCAUCAUCCAUCCCCAUCCCGGAGUAAAUAAUAAAAAGUGACGUGAA